AACGAUAUAUAAAUUAAACGAAUUAAUCAUCCUGAAUUAAUAUCUUUUAUAAUAUGAGAAAUUCUUUUGAAAGCGAAAUCAAUAUUUGGACAAUAAUGUAUUGAUAAAAAUAAUCCUGAAAUAAUUUGAAUUAUUAAAAAAAUUCCUAAUAUUGAUCAAAAAUUUGAUAUUAAUAUUGAUAUUAAUUGCUGCUGGAAGAGCAUACGUCUGAACU